rnacentral:lncRNA from 1 species
GGUGCUCGCUUUGCGGAUGCUGUAUGCAGCGUGCCUUUGAGCCACGGCCCCUUGAAGGAAAGACGUGCAGCUGGCAGUCCCACCUCCACCUCUUUCGGCAAGACCUUAGUAACUAAGCAAGAUCUUAGUAAGGUUUUUUUGAGUAUGGCCUGAUAGAAUCAGGGGGAAACCAACAAAUGGUUUCAGGACCUAGCUUUUGUCCUUGGAGUUUCAAACUUCACUGGUAAGAAUGCUAGGAGCCAUCUAUCAGUCCUACUGGGCUAUGGCCAGCGCAGGCAUGCCCUUCUUCUGGGAAGAAGACUAAGGUAUGUGUAGACUGCUCAACUGCAUUUGCUCUCAACUGGGUCAUAUGAUAGAAACUAGAGACGGGUAAUAUGGAGGACCCCAUUUUAUACAUGGGCAAAGUAUGGAUGAUGCCCAGCAUGGGGUGCUUUCUGAUCCCCUCUCCCCCAGAGACACACACCUUCCCAGACCUUCCCAGAAGCAGGGCCUGAGGUUCUAUGCCUCUAAAGGGCAGCUGCUGCUUGCAGAUGGGGCAUCUGCCCCCAGGACUGCUAGUUUGUCUUGAGUAAGAAGACUUGGAGUUUGGCAGCUAUUGCCCUUUGUGAGGCUGUGCUUCCCGCCAGUCAGGGAGCCCAUUGUCUCUAUCCAGCUGAGGAAAUAGCUAGGCUCCAGCAUGCACUGAUUAGCUUGUGGCUCCCUGCAAAGGUGGCAGGGCCCGACUGGUAUGGGUACGCCUCCUGUGUCAUUUGCACAGCAUGGGAGUGCUAUAAUCCAAAGGUGCAAUUCAGAGGCUUGUCUCCCAAAAGCAAGAUGAGGACAAGGCUGGAGAUGAUAAUCAAGGCUGACGCAAAUUACCUGGUGUUUGCUGGAGCAGAAUGGAACAGAGGGAGCUUCAGGGGGCAAAUCGGGUUGGCCCCAUCUCCCUGGUGCUGAGGCUGGCUUUUCGGUUGGGAGCUUGGGCAGGGGAAGUACUCCAGUGAACUCUGUUUGGGCAUCAUUUGGAAACUCUAUGAUGUCAGAGAUUUAUCUGCAUAGAAAUCUCAAUGCAUCGCUGAAGCCAAAUCCCUUGAGAACCUUCCACGGUGCAGACAACUGACUCUUAUCCUGAGCAUUUCCAAAUGAGAGUAUCAAGGUUGCCACAAUGGCAGCCAUAUUGUCUGGCACCAUAGUGGUGUAAAGCCUACUUAGAAGUCAACUACCCCUUCAAGAACUACCCCUACUCCACUACAAGAAGAGGAAAUUGAUGCCAGGAAAGAAAAGAUCGGAGCCAAGGUCCUACGGAGCACUAGAAAUGGAUCUUUCAACGGCCUCUUCAUUCUUCCCUUGUCUCUCCCUCUCUUCCUCCUUUGGCACAUAUAUUCAUUUAACAAACAUUUGUUGAGGACAUGUUUUGUGCCAAGUGCUACUUCUGGUACCAAACAUCCCUACCUUCCUCGAUGGGGAAAAAAAGCACUAAAUGGGAAGAACAGGUGCUAAUCAAAGAACCACUGCUUGGGUGGGUGGGGGACUUGACAUUGCACGGGGGGCAGUAAGAAUCUUCAUCUGUGAAAUGGGCUCCAUUUGCCCUGCCUCCCUUCCCACCUACACAGCUAGCUCAUCCAGGACAUCAGCAAGAAAUAGACUUUUUAUAAACAUAAAAGCAAAUUCUCCAAAUGCUGAGUUUAGCCUCACUCUGAUAAGUAUUCAAUAAAUGUUUGUUGAAUUGAAUUGCUGAAUUGAAUUAUGCUUCAAAAAUCAAGCAAGGAUUAGCAAGAAUUCCCAGCACUAACCACAGUGUUCAUUCAAUUUUCCUGUCUGGGCAGAGAAGACAUUUGUAAGAAUGUAUGAGCUGGGAGGACUCUAGGCAGUAAGCUGGUCAUACCAGCUAUCCAUUUUACAGAAUGGGAAAUCAAGGCCCAGAGAAGGGAAAGACUGUUGAAGAUCAUAUAUGAAAAAGAGUCAGAGCCAGAGAUGCCAGCUUCCUGAUAAUCUGAGUGACUGAAAUGAUGGUGAAGAAGAAGAUGGAGCCAUCUUGUCCCCAGUAAGCUAGAGGCUGUUCUGUGUGUGGAGAGUCCUAAGGAAGGAGACAUCUUCCAGCUGUUAAUUAAAGUUCUAUUAUCAGUUC